GAUGAAGAACGCAGCGAAAUGCGAUAAGUAAUGUGAAUUGCAGAAUUCAGUGAAUCAUCGAAUCUUUGAACGCACAUUGCGCCCGCCAGUAUUCUGGCGGGCAUGCCUGUCCGAGCGUCAUUUCAACCAUCAAGCCCCCGGGCUUGUGUUGGGGACCUGCGGCUGCCCGCAGGCCCUGAAAACCAGUGGCGGGCUCGCUGUCACACCGAGCGUAGUAGCACAUCUCGCUCAGGGCGUGCGGCGGGUUCUUGCCGUAAAACAACCCCCCCUUUUCACCAAGGUUGACCUCGGAUCAGGUAGGAAUACCCGCUGAACUUAAGCAUAUCAAUAAGCGGAGGA
rnacentral:misc_RNA from 1 species